rnacentral:misc_RNA from 1 species
AUCGGAUCCUGAGACUAGAUGGUAAACUGAUUGUAAGAGACAAUGCAGAGACGAUUGGCGAGAUUGAGAACAUGGCAAAAUCCUUGCACUGGGAUAUCAGAUUUACCUACUCAAAGGAUAACGAGGCAUUGUUGUGUGUUCAGAAGACAAUGUGGCGGCCUGAAGAGUUAGAAUCCAGCACGUAGGCCAUGACUUUGGAUCACGACUAAGAAUAUUUUUUCCAGCGACUCAGUAUGGUAUUUUUCAUUCUCAUUCCUCCCACAAAUUAUUUCUUCUUG